UGUAAGAAUAUUAAAUAGUUAACUUGUUUAUAUGUAUUUUAUGCUUUUAUAAGGUUUAUAACAUGAUUAUUGCUGACUGAAGGAAUAUUGAAUACUCAAUAUACGACAUAAUGCUGACUGUGACAGACUAAGGUAUUUCUUCUAUAGGAUGUAAGACAAUGCUAAAUUUCAGGAUGUCUUGCCCAUUCCGAUUUUAAGGAUAUUCUUUCCCAGACGUAUGCAAAAGCUUAUCUUUCCAUUGUCAGAAUAACGUAAUAUAAGGAAGUAAUAAAUCUUAUAGUCUGUACUGUAUUUGCAUAUACCAUGGCUAAUGUAAGCAAACUAUGUAUAAAAGCCAGCUCUGGAAUACACUCAUUUGAGAGUCUUGUAAAGCUGUUGUCCGUGUGUUAUUGCUUACAAUGAUCCUCCAUCAACGUUGAUUAUGGUGACCGAGGGAUCGAGAACCGAGGGGAUUAGAGUCCAUUACAACAUUAACCCUUUCAGCUUGGUGUCUAGAAGUGGGAUAGAUAGAAGUUGGAUCAGCAAAACCAUUGCGGUGAGUAGCCUUUUUGUGUCUUAUUUGACGCUGAUUGUCUAUGACCCCUUUGGUUCAGUAAGUCUGUAUCCAGUAGAUAGGAAAGGUGUAAGGACUCUAGUUAUAUUGAGACUAUAAGAGGUCUCCGGUUUAUUAGACAUUUGGUCUAAAUAUAUAUAGGGGUUCUUGGUAACCCAGGUUAGUAUCUAAGAUAGAUACAGGUUUUUGAGACCAUAAAAGGUC